GAUGAACGCUCGCGAUAGGCUUAACACAUGCAAGUCGAGGGGCAGCACAAGGUAGCUUGCUAUCUGGGUGGCGACCGGCGCACGGGUGCGUAACGCGUAUGCAACUUGCCCUAUACAGGAGGAUAACCCGUCGAAAGACGGACUAAUACUGCGUAUGCUCACAACUUGGCAUCAAGUGGUGAGGAAAGAAAUUCGGUAUAGGAUAGGCAUGCGUCCCAUUAGCUUGUUGGUGAGGUAACGGCUCACCAAGGCAACGAUGGGUAGGGGAACUGAGAGGUUUGGCCCCCACACUGGUACUGGGACACGGACCAGACUCCUACGGGAGGCAGCCGUGAGGAAUAUUGGUCAAUGGGCGCGAGCCUGAACCAGCCAAGUCGCGUGAAGGAUGACUGUCUUAUGGAUUGUAAACUUCUUUUAUACGGGAAUAACAAGAGUCACGUGUGACUCCCUGCAUGUACCGUAUGAAUAAGCACCGGCUAACUCCGUG
rnacentral:rRNA from 1 species